UUGAACUUGUCAAAUACAAUUUUUCCACUACAUUGAAUAAAGUCAUCAUAUUUGUAGCAGGUCGUAUAAAAAUUUAUAUAAAUGACAACACAGACAGUUUAAGAAUAAGUAUAGAAACAAGAGAGAUGAACAAAGUGGUAAAAGAAACAAAACACAAUAUGCUUAAUCGAGUGUAUAGUAUAUUAAAUACCCAGUAUUUCAUUGAAAACAAGAUAAUUCUUUGAAAAUGGCAUGUUCAAAUUCUACAGGUGAAUAGAAACAGUAUUUCAGGAGAUAUUGCUUUAGUUUCUUCUCAAGUUUAUUCAAACUAAGAUUUUACACUUGCUGAAGAAAUACAUUGUACAAGAGUUACCGGAAGAACAGACCAACCAGACAAAAGCUUUUCUCCCCUACAUUCAUGGAGUCACUGACAAAGUGAGCCGAAUUCUGAAGAAACAUAACCUAAAGACAGUAUUCACAGCCAACAACCAAUCUCCACUAUGUUAAAAAUACCCAAGGACACGAUACCCAAAGAAGCACAGGGCUUAUUCGAAAUACCAUGUUCAAGCGAGACAUAAGUGGAACCACCUAUUAGUAUGACACCCAAGUUGUCGGUUGAUUGAUCAAAACACCAACACUGGCAUAAAAACUUGGCAAGUUGACUUGGGUGUCACACCAAUAGGUAGUUCAACUUAUGUCUCGCUUGCGUUUACGCAGAUAUUUUUAGUGAUGGUAUCAUUCGAAUUAAAAAUAAAAGCCGAGAUUACCUACCACAGAGAAGCGACAAAGACGGCCAUUUUGUGUCCCUUUUUCGUAGACGCAUGCGCAUACUCAACGAUAUGAUGGUGAUUCUGGAUUGUUUUGAGUAUUACAAUUCUAUUCACAUAUUAUUAUGUCUAUGGAUGAUGUCUGCCCACAUAGGAAAUGUUUAUCAGCUACUCGGAACAACUGGUAACGCAACAACGUCAUCGUGCUGUCUGUGGUAUGAUCUGCUGAAUGUCCUGAAGUGGAAAACCGUAACAGGGGUGAUGAAGUAGUGACUGCCUCGAAGUGCCUUGGGGUGUGGUGUUGCCUCGAUUACAUGAAACAAGAGAGAAAUUCGGCAGUAAGUUCUUUCAUGAUAUAUUUUUAUUCUUAUAGCUAGGUUAUGUUACUAAUAAAUUCGAUAAUGAAACCAAUCAACAAAAAUCACUGCAUUCCAUAGUUAACAAUCAUUUUACAGUUUAUUCUAAUUGGUUAGAGUACAUAUAAUAUACAUUUAAGUUAAUUUGACGAUAAAUAGCAGAUACCUUACAAACUUUCCUUUUCAACUUUGAAGCAUACUUUUUGAUUUAUGCUUGAGCAUACUCUCAAAAUUCAUUGGUUCUUUAUGACACACCCAAUUUAAUAUAAGAUCUUUUUGUACAAUUUUUUACUGAUUCCUUACAGUAUUUGUCACCUGCCUAUUCAAUUGUCACCUCAUGUGAUAUACAUUUCACUGAAUAAUAGGAAAUUGAAAAUAACAAUAGCAGUUUUUUUCCUUUCAAUGAAAAUAAACAGCUAUUGGAAAUAUUUAUCGAAAACAACUACUUUCCUGGCUAGUACCAACGACGAAUAUUGAAUUAUAUCGAUAAAUAUAUAUAUCAGAAACCACAUGUAAAUUGCAUCUCUCAGAUUUUGCAUAUAUUAUUAUUAUUCUCUUUAUUAUCUUUCACAUUACUUCAUAAUUACAAUGACGUAGUAACUUUCUACAUCUUGAAACAUCAUAUUUGUCUUUUCUUAAGACAACUUUCUGUGUCGUACUUUCUACAACAUCGUACCUAUUGUCUUUCCUCCGAAGACCUCAUGUAUGCGCAUUUCAUUUCAUGCCUCAUAUAAAAUUCAUAUUAUAAUCAUCAUUAUUUCUCAUGAACAUCUAACAUAUUUUACACAACUUUAAAAAUAAAAAAUUUCAUGCAGUUUUGGGAGCGUCCUCCUCAGUCUGCCUUUUCAUCUCGUGUGUAUAGUCUACCUAUAUAAAUGAUUCUUCUUCAAUACAUAAUCAUCAAUUCUCACCUUUUCAAUAUAUCUAUAUGCUUCUUUUAUUUCUCAUAAUAUUACAAACUUCACUGUUUGUAGAUCAUCAGUCUGAGAUGCUAUUUCCUAUUACUUUCCAUACAAAAUAAAA